CUACGGAGGGCUGCAGUGAGGAAUAUUGGUCAAUGGGCGAAAGCCUGAACCAGCCAUGCCGCGUGAAGGAUGACGGCCCUAUGGGUUGUAAACUUCUUUUAUACGGGAAGAAACACCUCUACGUGUAGAGGUUUGACGGUACCGUACGAAUAAGCAUCGGCUAACUCCGUGCCAGCAGCCGCGGUAAUACGGAGGAUGCAAGCGUUAUCCGGAUUUAUUGGGUUUAAAGGGUCCGUAGGCGGAAACUUAAGUCAGUAGUGAAAUCCCGCAGCUUAACUGUGGAACUGUUAUUGAUACUGGGUUUCGUGAAUAUUGUUGAGGGAGGCGGAAUAAGUAAUGUAGCGGUGAAAUGCUUAGAUAUUACUUAGAACACCGAUUGCGAAGGCAGCUUACUAAGCAAUUAUUGACGCUGAGGUACGAAAGCGUGGGGAGCGAACAGGAUUAGAUACCCCUGUAGUC
rnacentral:rRNA from 1 species